CACUGGGGGAGGAUCUCUUUCUGGAGAUCCCUCCUUGGUGAAGCUUUCCCCUGCAAACCUGGAAUCUUCUAAUACAGGUCAAGAGUUAUCUAUCAAGGUAUGAAGACAACAGCUAAAAAUCCUUGAACCCUGACAAGAACAGGCAGUGGAGGUGACCAGCAUGGAAGGAAGUGGGUGAUGGAAGUAUAAUCACUGCAGAGAGAGCUGUGGAGGCUCAGAUCUUUCUAUUGCAAAGCAGGGAGCUGAUAAUCUUCUGCAGGGUCAUCCAAGCUGCUGAAGUGCCAGGCUUUGGCUGCUCCCUCGGUUCCCAUGAGUGCAGGUGGGGAUUAGAGUGAUUGCAGGAUGGUUUAUAGCAAGAAUAUGGACAAAAUAGGAAGCUGGAUGCAGUCUUCUGCUGUGAUUGAUCUUACUCCAAACUUCAGAUGAAAUUAAAGGACCAUGGCAACCAUCUUCUCAGGUCUGACCCUGUUGCAAAGUCCCUGGAGGAAAAAAAAAAAAGUAUCUUGCCAUUUUGUGCUACGUGGGCAGGUUGCUUUCAGUAUCUAUCUCAGAGGAAGAUUUCACUUGAUGACAGAAUUAUUAUUAAAUCAUGUAUUUGGUUGCUGGGAGUUACCACAGUCUUGAAAUUUAAUAUAUAAUAAAUCUUAAGUUGCAGAUAAAGUAACUAAAUUUGCAU